rnacentral:rRNA from 1 species
GACGAACGCUGGCGGCGUGCUUAACACAUGCAAGUCGAACGGAAAGGCCCUGCUUUUGUGGGGUGCUCGAGUGGCGAACGGGUGAGUAACACGUGAGUAACCUGCCCUUGACUUUGGGAUAACUUCUGGAAACUGGGGCUAAUACCGGAUAGGAGCUCCUGCUGCAUGGGGGGGGUUGGAAAGUUUCGGCGGUUGGGGAUGGGCUCGCGGCCUAUCAGCUUGUUGGUGGGGUAGUGGCUUACCAAGGCUUUGACGGGUAGCCGGCCUGAGAGGGCGACCGGCCACAUUGGGACUGAGAUACGGACCAGAAUCCUACGGGAGGCAGCAGUGGGGAAUAUUGCACAAUGGGCGGAAGCCUGAUGCAGCGACGCCGCGUGCGGGAUGACGGCCUUCGGGUUGUAAACCGCUUUCGCCUGUGACGAAGCGUGAGUGACGGUACUUGGUAAAGAAGCACCGGCUAACUACGUG